GACAGAGGGUGCUAGCGUUGUUCGGAAUUACUGGGCGUAAAGGGCGCGUAGGCGGUCUGUUAAGUUCGGUGUGAAAUCCCCUGGCUCAACUGGGGAACUGCGCUGGAAACUGGCAGACUCGAGUACCGGAGAGGAGAGUGGAAUUCCUGGUGUAGCGGUGAAAUGCGUAGAUAUCAGGAGGAACACCGGUGGCGAAGGCGGCUCUCUGGACGGAUACUGACGCUGAGGCGCGAAAGCGUGGGGAGCAAACAGG
rnacentral:rRNA from 1 species